rnacentral:rRNA from 1 species
AGAAUCAACGCUGGCGGCGUGCCUAACACAUGCAAGUCGAACGAGAAAGUGGAGCAAUCCAUGAGUAAAGUGGCGCACGGGUGAGUAACACGUGACUAACCUACCCUUGAGUGGGGGAUAACCUAGAGAAAUCUGGGCUAAUACCGCAUAAUACCUUCGGGUCAAAGGAGCAAUUCGCUUAAGGAGGGGGUCGCGGCCGAUUAGUUAGUUGGCGGGGUAAUGGCCCACCAAGACUGUGAUCGGUAUCCGGCCUGAGAGGGCGCACGGACACACUGGAACUGAAACACGGUCCAGACUCCUACGGGAGGCAGCAGUGGGAAUUUGCGCAAUGGGGGAAACCCUGACGCAGCAACGCCGCGUGGAGGAUGAAGCCCCUUGGGGCGUAAACUCCUUUCGAUCGGGAAGAUAAUGACGGUACCGAGAGAAGAAGCCCCGGCUAACUCGUGCCAGCAGCCGC